UGAGGAAGUGGGAGUCAGUUGCUGAUAGGUGAUGGCAGUUGCAGGGAAGUUGGCUUCUAUAACUUAAACUCUCAAUGCUCUGCGUUUCAAGUUAAAGAGAAGGAGAAUACUAACAAUUGGAAGAAUCAGAAGAGACUACAUGUAGGAAGUGAUGAUUGA
rnacentral:lncRNA from 1 species